CGUUAGCGGCGGACGGGUGAGUAACACGUAGGUAACCUACCUAUAAGACUGGGAUAACUUCGGGAAACCGGAGCUAAUACCGGAUAAUAUUUCGAACCGCAUGGUUCGAUAGUGAAAGAUGGCUUUGCUAUCACUUAUAGAUGGACCUGCGCCGUAUUAGCUAGUUGGUAAGGUAACGGCUUACCAAGGCAACGAUACGUAGCCGACCUGAGAGGGUGAUCGGCCACACUGGAACUGAGACACGGUCCAG
rnacentral:rRNA from 1 species